CACUCUCAGAUCCUUUUCAUAUACAUGCCCAUAGCUUAAGACAGCUGCAACCACUGCCUGCUCCAGGCUGUUGGUUGUCAGUGGAUACUAAGGUUUCUCCAAGUCAGGUCUUGCUCAGGGCAUUACUUCAAGUCAGUGUCUUGUACAGUGGCUUCUGUUGUUUCAGUGAUGACUAAAUAGCAUGGGAGUUUAAGUUGCUCCUGGCGGUUAGCCUGAACAGACUAUAGAGAGGCACAUUGCAGACUCAGGUUUCUUACAUAUCUAGUUUGCCUUGUCCAGCAUGAGGCCACCAUGUUCUGUAAUCAGUGCAGCAGUUCUUGUGUGACUUGGCUGUUAUGUCUGAAAAUAGUGGCUGAAUUCAUGUGCCUCUAUUCAGACAGUCCCAUCUCAAAAAUUUCAGCCGGGCCAUCUCAUAGUGGAAGUGAGACUUUUUCCAGGGGCAUUAACUGUGGGAUCUCCAGAGUUAUAGCCACAUUAAUCAUGAAUUCCCUGAGAAACUGCCCUACCCCAUUAAAUACACUGGCAUAUUUUUUAAUAAGGUCACCUGCCUUGUGUCAGCUGAGAUGGAGUAAUUCCCACUUUCAUUACCAGUUUGAUCAAUUUAAUAUCCAGCCUGCUCAGGGACCGAGCUCUAGUGAUGCUGCUGUGUGUACAGCAUGAAAUUUGUGGUGUUUUACAUCCUGUUUGAUUGGGUCUAAAAGCACACCAUCUGCCAACGUGCCCCUGCUUUACCUUUCCCUUGUAAAUGUGGGUUCUUGCUCUCUUCCACUCAUCCUGCAGUUGCCAGACCCAUGUGGAAAACUACGUACCCAGUUCGGAAGCUGUGGCUGAAGCCUCUACAGGUUUUCAGUUUCUGCUGGGUCCUGACUGCUUCCACAGGGACCCCAGGAGGGUGGCCCUCUUCCUAUUGGCUGCAGGGUCAUAAGUAUCACGUAUUCCACCCUAGUUUCAGCUGCAUAGACGCUGGGAUUAUGUAUCAGUUCUUUAUGGCAAACCUUGCUGGCCACCAUGCUGUUCCUAAGCUGCCAGUCCUUGGCAUUCACCAGCCAGCACCUCCUGUCCUGUGGUGACAAACUCCACUGUGGCAGCCGGACCUGCUUCACAGUGUGGGGUCAGCAGCUGUACUGGGGUUUGCAGAGUAACCUAUGUGCUGUCCUGUCUACUAGCUUUGGCAAAAAGAAAACAGUCCUUUUUUCUCUCUUAUGCAACCACUUAAGCCCAAGCAGUUGUUCUGGGGUUCGUGGUUUUUAUUCAUGACAUUAGUAGCGGAAAAUUACUGUCAUUGCCUCCUUUGGCUUGGGCCUUGUUCCUUUGCAACCCAUAUGAUUGAGAGAAUUUCCCUCUGGGCAAGAAGAAAUGGCAGCAUGGCCAAGCCAUGAAGAGCAGGUGGGCAAUACAAACAUUUCAAAGCCCAGACCAUAUUGAUGUAAAUAUUGCAAGUUUUCUUGGGGAAAGAAUGACCCUAUAUUUUUACAGAUUAUUUUACCAGUAGUCUUAUGUACUGGUUACUUAAUGCUUGAGGUUUGGGGGAGCAUCCUGGCUAGCAGCACCUCAGAAAAAAGAAAACUGAAUGACCAGGUGACUUCAUUACAGCAACCAUCUGAGUAAUAUACUCAAAUCUACAAUCUAUAGAACAAUGAUAAAAUUCUGCCUGCUAAAGCACAGAGAAUUUACAGAACCCUAAAUCCAAACACAGUCAGGAUUUAGGGUUCACUGACAUCCAUUCUCUGAAGUGGGCUGUGUACCCUUCAGUUAGCACACCAUCCCCUAGUUAUGUUAAAUAAAUGUUCACUGCUUCUCCGCAGCAUCCUGGCUAACAGCAAGAGGGUACUGCACAGUGGUGCUGCACGCUAUCAAUAUAUUAUAUAUUACACCCAGCCAUUAGGUUGCUGCUCAAGUUCGGUCCAACCUGUCCAGCCGGGUAUGGCGAUUAAACCUAUCAAGAGGGUCCCCGCUCCUACACGCGAGCCUCUCCGCUGUCAUUUGUCCCCUAUGCCGCUGGAUGGCAAUGCCGCCUAAAGUAUCGCCGCGCUUUCGCGGCCGGUAUAGAGACCCGGCAGAGGAGGAGGAGGAAGACGGGAGGUGAAGCAGCCUUCUUCCUGCCGUCAUGCAGAGUCUGGCACAGUCCAGCCAGAAGAGAUUGCCUGCAGGAGAGAGUGCUCUGGUCCUCCAGGAAGGGGGGAAGGCAGCCUGGCAGCAGCAGCCUUUUCCAAGCACAGGAACAGAAGGAAGGCAGAAAAAAAGCCACCCUCAACAGCAGUUUAAGGGUUGAGUUUGACCCCACGCUCACCCACUCAAUUAGCAACCGCCUUUUGCAACCAACAUUGGCCUUCCAAAAUGAAGCAGCACCACUUCCCCUCUGUGCAGGAAGAGCACAAAAUGGAGGUAAGAAAAAGAGCUUCAUCAUGUUGAGAUGAAGACUAUCCUCCCACCGUUUAUGCUGCCAGGAGAGGGAUUUCCAGGAACACAGGGAAAGGCUUUACUUCUGGGGAGGCUCCACAUGAGCACAGGGCUAUUAACAAAGCCCAGGUUCCUUAACAGGCCUAAAAGAAGAUUAAGAAGUAGCUUAUUCUCAAGUUUUGAAACACAACCCGCAAUGUGCAAGACCAGGCAGGGGUUAAGACAUGCCCAUAUCCAUCAGGGAAGCAGGCUGCAAGGCAGAUGUCUUAGGUCCUUACACAGGACAAGUUCCCCGAUUUAAAUACCUUUCUUUUUUCUCUAGGGUUAUUUUUAAGCUUGCUGCCUGACUUCAACAGCGUUCCUUACCAAAAGCUUUGGUGGGGCAACCUGAUACUGCAUGAAGGGAGGGGAAGGGUUGAAACAGAACAAGAAAGGAACAAGGUGAGAAACGUUUUUUAGGACAGGUUCCCCGGGUGUGGGGAGCUGUGGCCUUAGGGGCCAGAUUUAACUGGACAACAGAGGCUGUCCUGGAAGAGCUGGUGAAAGGAGUAAUAAACACUCCAGGUGGGAAACAAAGGGAGGGCAACCACCCACCCAUAAAUAUGGGCAGGGCAGACCUGCAUCUACAUUGCCUACAGCUGGGGCCAUCUGUCUAGAGGCAGGGAAGGGUGUCAGGAGGGGAGGGCCUGCUCCAGGUUAGCAAGGUUAAGUGUGAAGCAGGUGAUGCUGCCUCUGGGGCAAGUGAUAGCCUGUCUGUAUUUGCAUGCCAUAUUUUUCCAGUGACACUUAGCUCACAGAGUGUGUGUGUUUUCAGCAUAGUUCCAAAUAAACACCACGCCCCUCAGACAUGCACAUCUCUUACAUGUUUUGAAAUAAAUGCCUGCAGCUGGAAGACAGGAAAGGGGAAAAAGACUUAGGAGAUUCAUUUCUGCAUAGCCCGUUUAUAGCGGGACCUGUGACAGAGUAAAUCUCAAAACUGAGGCUGGUUAGGUUUCCUUCCUCUCUGUCCAGCUGUCUCUCCCUUAGGCUACUCACUUAAUUCCUUUGUGUCCCAGUUAUCUUGCAGAUACAGAAUAAAUAACACCAUCUACCUCACAAAAAAAUAUUUACAGUUUGUCUCAGGAUUUUCCUAAGUUUUUAUACUGAACUUUCUCUGCUUCUGCCUUCACCUUAGAAGAACACAGAGGUUUAUAGAGCAAUCCUGAUGGAGACAUACAGAUGUGUAUUUCCCACAAGUACCAUAUUGCCUGUCCAAUUUGUAAAUCUGACUCCUUGAGUGCCUAAAAUACUUGAAAUGUUUUAUUUCUGUUUCUUAUUUUCAAGGUUAUUUAC